UACGUAGGGCGCAAGCGUUAUCCGGAAUUAUUGGGCGUAAAGAGCUCGUAGGCGGUUUGUCGCGUCUGCCGUGAAAGUCCGGGGCUCAACUCCGGAUCUGCGGUGGGUACGGGCAGACUAGAGUGAUGUAGGGGAGACUGGAAUUCCUGGUGUAGCGGUGAAAUGCGCAGAUAUCAGGAGGAACACCGAUGGCGAAGGCAGGUCUCUGGGCAUUAACUGACGCUGAGGAGCGAAAGCGUGGGGGGCGAACAGG
rnacentral:rRNA from 1 species